rnacentral:rRNA from 1 species
AAAGAAGCAAAUAAGGGCGAACGGUGGAUGCCUAGGCUCCCGGAGGCGAAGAAGGACGUGAUAAGCUGCGAUAAGCUACGGGUAGGUGCAAAUAACUGAUGAUCCGUAGAUUUCCGAAUGGGGCAACCCGAUCAGCCGAAGGCUGAUUAUUCCGUUUCGGCGGAAAGCAAACCCGGCGAACUGAAACAUCUAAGUAACCGGAGGAAGAGAAAACAAGAGUGAUUCCCUGAGUAGUGGCGAUCGAAAGGGGAACAGCCCAAACCAGUGAUGUUUCGGCAUCACUGGGGUAGUAGGACUGCCAUAUAGGGUUGUAAGAUCGGAAGUCGAACAAUACUGGAAAGGUUGACCACAGGAGGUGAAAGUCCUGUAGACGUAACGAUUUUUCGACCCUGGCAGUAUCCUGAGUAGCACGGGGCACGGGAAACCCUGUGUGAAACAGCCAGGACCAUCUGGUAAGGCUAAAUACUCCCGGGAGACCGAUAGUGGACCAGUACCGUGAGGGAAAGGUGAAAAGCACUCCUAACAGGAGGGUGAAAAAGAACCUGAAACCGUUUGCCUACAAUCAGUCGGAGCCCCGCCAUAGGUGGGGUAACGGCGUGCCUUUUGGAUAAUGAGCCUACGAGUUACUGUCUCGAGCCAGGUAAAGCCCUAUAAGGGGCCCGGCCGAAGCGAAAGCGAGUCUGAACAGGGCGUUGAGUUGGAGGCAGUAGACGCGAAACGCGGUGAUCUACCCAUGGUCAGGCUGAAGGUCCGGUAACACGGGCUGGAGGGCCGCACCAGGCAGCGUUGAAAAGCUGUUGGAUGAACUGUGGGUAGGGGUGAAAGGCCAAUCAAACCGUGAGAUAUCUCGUACUCCCCGAAAUGCCUUUAGGGGCAGCCUCGGAAUAAGUGUUACGGAGGUAGAGCACUGAUAAGGCUAGAGGGCUUCAUCGCCUAUCAAACCUUGACAAACUCCGAAUGCCGUAACAUGUUUACCGGGAGUGAGGCACUGGGUGCUAAGGUCCGGUGCCGAGAGGGAAACAACCCAGACCAACAGCUAAGGUCCCCAAAUGAAUGCUAAGUUGAUCGAACGAGGUGCGACUGCAGAGACAGCUAGGAUGUUGGCUUGGAAGCAGCCAUUCAUUUAAAGAGUGCGUAACAGCUCACUAGUCGAGCGGUCGUGCAUGGAGGAUAAUCGGGCAUUAAGUAUUCUACCGAAGCUAUGGUUCCCCCGCCUUUGGCGGGGGGAUGUAGGGGAGCAUUCUCUGAGCGUUGAAGCCCUGCUGUGAGGCGGGGUGGAGUUCAGGGAAAAGAAAAUGUAGGCAUAAGUAACGAUAAUGCAGGUGAGAAACCUGCACACCGAAAGACUAAGGUUUCCAGAUCAACGUUAAUCGGAUCUGGGUUAGUCGGGACCUAAGACGGACCCGAAGGGGGAAGUCGAUGGAGAGCGGGUUAAUAUUCCCGCACUACCUUAUACUGCGAAGGGCGGACGGAGAAGUGACAGGUCUGCGCACUGACGGAAUAGUGCGUUGAAGGGUGUAGGUAAUCGCCCCGGUUAAUAGCCGGGGAGAGCCGAACCCGAUAGUACCGCGAGCCUUCGGGCGAGCGGAUAAUGGCCGUAAUCAUGCUCCCGAGAAAAAGCCCUAAGCAUCAGGUAUGAGGUACCCGUACCGUAAACCGACACAGGUAGUCGAGGAGAGAAUCCUCAGGUGCUCGAGUGAUUCAUGGCUAAGGAACUCGGCAAAAUGGUCCUGUAACUUCGGGAGAAAGGACUCCCCCUCCCGCCAUAGGCGGGGAGGGGGACGCAGUGACCAGGCCCAGGCGACUGUUUAUCAAAAACACAGGGCUUUGCGAAAUCGAGAGAUGAAGUAUAAGGCCUGAUACCUGCCCGGUGCCGGAAGGUUAAGGGGAGGAGUUAUUCCCCCGCCAUUGGCGGGGGAAGAAGCUCUGAACCGAAGCCCCGGUAAACGGCGGCCGUAACUAUAACGGUCCUAAGGUAGCGAAAUUCCUUGUCGGGUAAGUUCCGACCUGCACGAACGGUGUAACGAUCUGGGCACUGUCUCGGCCAUGAGCUCGGUGAAAUUGUAGUUCCGGUGAAGAUGCCGGAUACCCGCAGCGGGACGGAAAGACCCCGUGAACCUUUACUACAGCUUAACAUUGAUUUUGGGUAAGUGAUGUGUAGGAUAGGUGGGAGACAGCGAAGCGGCCUCGCCAGGGGUCGUGGAGUCGUCCUUGAAAUACCACCCUUUGCUUGCUCGAGGUCUAAUCCGGCAGCUGCCGGAGACAGUGUUAGGUGGGUAGUUUGACUGGGGUGGUCGCCUCCUAAAAGGUAACGGAGGCUUCUAAAGGUACCCUCAGCAUGGAUGGCAACCAUGCGCAGAGUAUAAUGGCACAAGGGUGCUUGACUGAGAGACUGACCGGUCGAUCAGGUAGGAAACUAGAGCAUAGUGAUCCGGCGGUACCGUAUGGAAGGGCCGUCGCUCAAAGGAUAAAAGGUACUCCGGGGAUAACAGGCUAAUCGCUCCCAAGAGCUCACAUCGACGGAGCGGUUUGGCACCUCGAUGUCGGCUCGUCACAUCCUGGGGCUGGAGGCGGUCCCAAGGGUUGGGCUGUUCGCCCAUUAAAGUGGCACGCGAGCUGGGUUCAGAACGUCGUGAGACAGUUCGGUCCCUAUCUGCUGUGGGCGCAGGAUAUUUGCGGGGGUCUGCUUCUAGUACGAGAGGACCGAAGCGGACAGACCUCUGGUGUAUCAGUUGUGGCGCCAGCUGCACUGCUGAGUAUCCAUGUCUGGAAGAGAUAAGCGCUGAAAGCAUCUAAGCGCGAAGCUCGCCCCAAGAUGAGAUAUCCCAACAGGGUCGUUGAAGACGACGACGUAGAUAGGUUGCAGGUGUAAAGGCAGCGAUGUCAAAGCCGAGCAAUACUAAUUACCCGAAAGCUUCUUUAU